rnacentral:tRNA from 1 species
UCAAAAACAGUUUUCGAAAACGCUAACUUUGGAAGUUAGUAGAUGGGGUUAAACUCAUUUUUGAA